UCAAGCUUCUAAUGUGAAUGUGCAAGAAGCAAAUCCAAAAGAAGUGACCUACGCUGAGAGGCUAACAAAAAUAAAAGGAAUUUUGUCUGGAGAGACUUCAAUACAGUUGACUCUACAAUUUUUAUACAGUCAUAACAAGUCGGAUCUUCUUAUUCUCAAGAUAAUAAAGCAGUCUGUGGAGCUGAGAAAUAGUGUCUGCCACAGUGCAACAAUAUAUGCUAAUGCAAUUAUGCAUGUUGGGACAACUGUGGAUACAUUUCUCCAUGAGAAUCUGGUAAAUCAACAUUCCACUUUCAUUCUUUAAAUAAACCUUUAUUGUUACACAACUUUACAAACAAUAAAGCAAUCUGUGGAGACAAGAAAUAGCUCUUGGAACUGCUGAUGAAGAUAUCAAUGACGACGUAAAAACUGUGCUUUAUACUAACAGUGUUGUUUGUGGUUUCCUGUUUGAACCUUGUACUUACAUUUUGUAAAUUAUCUUAAAUUAGCAUGAUAGUUAUUUAUUUAAUAUUUUUCUCAAUUAACCACAAGAUGAGUAUUAUUUCAUCAACUUUGCUAUUUUUUCAGCUCAGAAGCAGUUAAUUUUGUUAGGAAUCAGCUUCAGCAACAUGGAGAUGCUCAGGUAAAAAAUUUGCCUCAAUUCUAGUAUACCAGUGUUAUGGUUUACAAAGUUUUAACUUCUUUUGUUCUGAUUUUUGUUAGCUUGUGAGGCGCUUGGAAGAGCAGCUCUAGUAAUGGAUGCGUAGAUGUUUAUUUUUCUUGCACAAUGCUUGAUCAUACCUGCAAAUUUAUGUAUAUUAGAGGACCGACGUUCACAAGAUAAUGUCAGCAUCAUCAUUGUUGAUUUGGGGUAUGCACUUGUAUGCAUUAAUAUUUUCCAUUCUAAUCUAAUGUGUCAAUCUAUUGUAUUGAUAUUAACCUUUCUAAUUUGGUCUUGGCUGUGACUUUUUGCAGGAGGACAAAUUCACAAAGUUUGCCUCGUUUAGAAAGAAAAUUUUGUUUAUGAACUGGGCCAAGCUUUUGCUACUAUCGGUAUUGUGUCAUUAGGAGUAUGAAUGUCUUCUCUGCUUUCUGCAUGAGUUUUCAAGCCUGACUUUGUAAAUAAAUCCUCACGGAUUUCUAAUAUAUUUUGUGUCUAGAUAUAUUCUGUAAUUGUACAUGUAUCACAUCUUAUUGCAUUGUUUUUUAUUUUUAA